rnacentral:rRNA from 1 species
UACGGAGGGUGCAAGCGUUAUCCGGAAUCAUUGGGUUUAAAGGGUCCGCAGGCGGAUUUAUAAGUCAGUGGUGAAAUCCUGCAGCUCAACUGCAGAACUGCCAUUGAUACUGUAAGUCUUGAAUUUGAUCGGAGUGGGCGGAAUGUGUAGUGUAGCGGUGAAAUGCAUAGAUAUUACACAGAACACCGAUAGCGAAGGCAGCUCACUAGGUUAUAAUUGACGCUCAUGGACGAAAGCGUGGGGAUCAAACAGGAUUAGAUACCCUGGUAGUCCACGCCGUAAACGAUGAUUACUCGUUCUUGAUAGCAAUAUCAGGGACCAAGCGAAAGUGAUAAGUAAUCCACCUGGGGAGUACGAUCGCAAGGUUG